rnacentral:rRNA from 1 species
AGUGAACGCUGGCGGUAGGCCUAACACAUGCAAGUCGAACGGCAGCACAGUAAGAGCUUGCUCUUACGGGUGGCGAGUGGCGGACGGGUGAGGAAUACAUCGGAAUCUACUUUUUCGUGGGGGAUAACGUAGGGAAACUUACGCUAAUACCGCAUACGACCUACGGGUGAAAGCAGGGGAUCUUCGGACCUUGCGCGAUUGAAUGAGCCGAUGUCGGAUUAGCUAGUUGGCGGGGUAAAGGCCCACCAAGGCGACGAUCCGUAGCUGGUCUGAGAGGAUGAGGAGCCACAGGGGAAGUGAGACAGGGGCCAGGCGCCAACGGGAGGCAGCAGUGGGGAAUAUUGGACAAUGGGCGCAAGCCUGAUCCAGCCAUACCGCGUGGGUGAAGAAGGCCUUCGGGUUGCAAAGCCCUUUUGUUGGGAAAGAAAAGCAGCAGGUUAAUACCCCGCUGUUCUGAGGGUACCCAAAGAAUAAGCACCGGCUAACUUCGUG